GUAUAGCGAAAGCUAGUUGUAUUAUUAGUUAAUGCAAGAUCGACUACGUCGACUAAAGUUCUAGGUAGAAUAAUGAUGAUGACAAUUUUUUACCUAUAUGUCUUGACCAAGUCUCGUGCCAGCAGUCGCGGUAAUACGUGGAAGACUAGUGUUAUUCAUCUUUAUUAGGUUUAAAGGGUACCUAGACGGUAUUUCUAGCCCAAAAUAGGGUACGGAUUUACUAGAGUUUUAUGUGAGGAGGGGAGUACUCGUGGAGUAGAGAUGAAAUUUUGUUAUACUAUGAGGUAACUGGUGGCGGCGAAAGCAACCUUCUAUGUAUAAACUGACGUUGAGGGACGAAGGCUUGGGUAGCAAAUAGGAUUAGAUACCCUAGUAGUCCAAGCAGACAAUUCUGAAUGCCAUAGAUUAGAUUAUUUUUGAUCUAUAAAUGAAAGUGUAAGCAUUCCACCUUAGGAGUAAUGUGGCAACACAGGAACUGAAAUCAUUAGACCGUUUCUGAAACCAGUAGUGAAGUAUGUUAUUUAAUUUGAUGGUCCACAAAAAACCUUACCACAACUUGAAUAUUUUUUAAUUAAUACAAGCGUUGCACGGCUGUCUUCAGUUAAUGUCGUGAGAUUUUGGUUAACUCCAUUAAUUAACGUAAACCCUUACUUUAUUUAU
rnacentral:rRNA from 1 species